AUUGAAAUGGAAGAAAUCAGGUAUAAGAAGCAUGCUGUGAUAUUGAGUCAAUUGGUUGCCCAAUCACAGACAUCUUUCACUGACAGAGUAACAGCAAUGCUCAUUUUCAAAUCAUAUGAGAAGGCCUUGCUAACUGAUGGUCGAUGCUCACAGGUGUGUGGGCUUUGAGCAGUCGCUACACCUUCCCUCUUCAGGCAUGAUGAGAGGAUUCCUGCAGCGUUUUGCAAGAGGGGUUGUGAGGAUGCUUCUGGAUUCCAAGUCAAGUUCAUGACUUAUUCAUAAACAUAUAUUUAACUCAUGUAACGUUAGAAACAGCUCUCUGAAGCCAACCCAAGUGCAAUAACAUCCCUCCCAAUGGGGUGGAUUCUACUUAAUUUUGCUGGUGCUGGCAGUGUGUGCAUAUUAUUUUGACUGGGAACAUAUUAUUAGUGAGGAUGGCCCUACAUCCUGGUAAUAAUACAUGUUAGCCCUUUAGAAGGCAAUCAAAUAAAUGUGACAGUAGCCAAGUGUGUUAGUGUCCCGAAAGAGGUGUUCUGCGACACGGGGAAGGCUAUCUCCAUAACGAAAUCAAGAAAUAUUCUUUUCCCAGCCUUGUGUUCUCUCUGACUCAUUUUAUUUUUAUUAUUUGUAGUUUUUGAGACAGGGCCUCACUCUGUCACUCAAGCUAGAGUACAGAGGCACGAUCACAGUCACUCCAGCCUCCAUCUCCAGGACUCAAGCAAUCCUCCCACCUCAGCCUCCUGAGUAACUGGGACUACAAACGCAUGCCAUCAUGCCUAGCUAAUUUUUUUGUAUUUUUUUUGUAGAGAUGAAGUUUCAUCAUGUUGUCC
rnacentral:lncRNA from 1 species